rnacentral:rRNA from 2 species
UCUGGUGACUAUAGCAAGGAGGUCACACCUGUUCCCAUGCCGAACACAGAAGUUAAGCUCCUUAGCGUCGAUGGUAGU